GAUGAACGCUGGCGGCGUGCCUAAUACAUGCCAGUCGAGCGAACAGAUGAGGAUCUUGCUCCUCUGACGUUAGCGGCGGACGGGUGAGUAACACGUGGAUAACCUACCUAUAAGACUGGGAUAACUUCGGGAAACCGGAGCUAAUACCGGAUAAUAUAUUGAACCGCAUGGUUCAAUAGUGAAAGACGGUUUUGCUGUCACUUAUAGAUGGAUCCGCGCCGCAUUAGCUAGUUGGUAAGGUAACGGCUUACCAAGGCAACGAUGCGUAGCCGACCUGAGAGGGUGAUCGGCCACACUGGAACUGAGACACGGUCCAGACUCCUACGGGAGGCAGCAGUAGGGAAUCUUCCGCAAUGGGCGAAAGCCUGACGGAGCAACGCCGCGUGAGUGAUGAAGGUCUUCGGAUCGUAAAACUCUGUUAUUAGGGAAGAACAAAUGUGUAAGUAACUAUGCACGUCUUGACGGUACCUAAUCAGAAAGCCACGGCUAACUACGUG
rnacentral:rRNA from 1 species